rnacentral:lncRNA from 1 species
GGGGGAAUUCCUUGGUUAUGCUAAUACCGCCUAGGGAUAGGGGUAGGACGAUCAAUUGUAUUUUGCUUCCGUUCGUUAUGCAUUAUUAAUUACUAGGGGAGGCUAGGGAUAGCAAAUCGGUAAUUAGUAAUAGGCUUUUUUCGCCAAGGGAUUGGGUUAAGGGUAAACCAAGAAAGUUUGCAUGCCAAUAUGAUAAAAAAGCGAAUUAAAUAAGUAGAGUAGAUAUAUGAGGGUGGAUAAGAUGAAAUUGUAAACCCCAACAACACCAUUCAUCCAUAGUUUUUCCUCAACCAUUGAUUCACUACAUAUGCAUGUUUACUUUUGUUAUUUUUGCAUUUAAAAACUUAAAAUCAAUUUCUUCUCAAGUCUUACGCGAUUAGGUUACACGAAAGUUAAGGCAUAAGAGUACUUUGGGAAACGAUACUUGGACUUACCCAUUUUAUAUUACUUGAUAACGAUCUGGUAAACUUGUUAGGGACUUAACAAGUGUUUGGCGUCGUUCCCGGGGACUCGUGGUUUAACUUAUCUAGUAGUGUAACUUGAUUAAAUUCGACUUGAUUGUAUAUAUUGUGUUUUUGUUUUUUGUUUUUGUUGUUAUUUUUAUUUUUUUAUAAAAGUUCUACUACGGUUUUUGUUUCUUAUGCAUGCAACAGGAGAGUAGACAUACUAGGAGCACAAAAAAUACGCAACCUCUUCUUGAAGGCUUAAGUGAGA